UGCAACAACAUAUCGCCGUCGAAA
rnacentral:siRNA from 1 species